rnacentral:RNase_MRP_RNA from 1 species
AGAUAUUUAUAUUAUUAAUAGGAAAGUCAUAAAUAUAUAAAUUAUAUUAUAUAAUUAAUAUAAUAAUAAAAUAAAUUAUAUAUUUUAUUUAUAAUAUUAUUUCUUUAUAAGAUAAAUAUUAUCUAAUAAUAUUUAUAAAGAAAUAUAUAUAUAUAUAAAAAGUCAUUAUAUAAAUUUAAUUAUAAUUUAAAUAAAUUUUAUAUAAAUUAAUAUAAUAUUAAUAAAGUAAUUAGUAUAAAUAAAUAAUAUGAAAAUAAAACUUAAUAAAUAUAUAAAUAUAGUCCGGCCCGCCCCCCGCGGGAGGCGGGCGGACCCCGAAGGAGUGAGGGACCCCUCCCUAUACUAUACUAUACUAAUGGGAGGGGGACCGAACCCCUUUUAAAGAAGGAGUGAGGGACCCCGUGGGGACCGAACCCCGAAGGAGUCCAUAUAUAUAUAUUAAUAAAAAGUAAUAUAUAUAUAUAUAUUGGAAUAGUUAUAUUAUUAUACAGAAAUAUGCUUAAUUAUAAUAUAAUAUCCA